AACGAACGCUGGCGGCAUGCCUAACACAUGCAAGUCGAACGAGGCCUUCGGGUCUAGUGGCGCACGGGUGCGUAACGCGUGGGAACCUGCCCUUAGGUUCGGAAUAACUCCCCGAAAGGGGUGCUAAUACCGGAUAAUGCCUUCGGACCAAAGAUUUAUCGCCUUUGGAUGGGCCCGCGUUGGAUUAGCUAGUUGGUAGGGUAAAAGCCUACCAAGGCGACGUUCCAUAGCUGGUCUGAGAGGAUGAUCAGCCACACUGGGACUGAGACACGGCCCAGACUCCUACGGGAGGCAGCAGUGGGGAAUAUUGGACAAUGGGCGAAAGCCUGAUCCAGCAAUGCCGCGUGAGUGAUGAAGGCCUUAGGGUUGUAAAGCUCUUUUACCCGGGAUGAUAAUGACAGUACCGGGAGAAUAAGCUCCGGCUAACUCCGUG
rnacentral:rRNA from 1 species